GGGACUGUGAAAGAGCAUGAAAUGGAACCACCGGGUUGGAAUCGGUCAACUCGGAAAGUCGUAGUCUGGUGGUUUGACGAUUCAGAAGUUAUUAUACACGGGCAAUGGCUAUGCUUUUGACAUGUAAGGCGUUUUUGUUGCUUAGAUGAUGUGUGAAACUUUUAUGUUUAACGUAUAUCGAAUUGUCAUGUAUGCUUCUUUUUAUCUUGAAAAUUUGGAUUUAUUGAUAUGAAAUAUACAUAGAUUCCAUCGA
rnacentral:lncRNA from 1 species